rnacentral:lncRNA from 10 species
ACACACACCGGCGUACUGGAACCUCUCUCGCGAUCCCGCACCCAGCUUGAAUUCAGCAAGAAUCGAAAACAGUCUCAGCUCCAGACAUCAGUGAAUUCAAUGUGAUACAUCAGGGGACAUCACAGGACUUCCCUACUUGAAAAUCAAGCAAUCGUGUCCCUGAAACACUCUGUCUUUAUUCAUGCUCAGUUACCGUAAAGUAGAUGCAACUCUAAGAACCUAUGGAUUUUUUUAUUGCCACUAAUAGAUCAUGAUUUACAGCAAAAUUUUAAAAGGUCCAAUUUUACUCACAUAAGAAGAAGAAAACAUUCAGCAAGAAGCAUUUCUUUUGCUUUAUCUUU